rnacentral:misc_RNA from 1 species
UCCGGUUUGUCACCGGCAGUCUCCUUAGAGUGCCCUUGCGUAGCAACUAAGGAUAAGGGUUGCGCUCGUUGCGGGACUUAACCCAACAUCUCACGACACGAGCUGACGACAGCCAUGCAGCACCUGUGUUCCCGUUCCCUUUCGGGCACACCCGGCUUUCACCAGGCUCCAGGACAUGUCAAGGGUAGGUAAGGUUUUUCGCGUUGCAUCGAAUUAAUCCACAUAAUCCACCGCUUGUGCGGGUCCCCGUCAAUUCCUUUGAGUUUUAGCCUUGCGGCCGUACUUCCCAGGCGGAGAACUUAAUGCGUUGGCUACGGCACCGCAGGGGUCAACACCCGCGACACCUAGUUCUCAUCGCUUACGGCGUGGACUAC